GUUGUGGCGCGCUUAACAUGCAAGUCGAACGGUAACAGGGAGCUUGCUCCGCUGACGAGUGGCGAACGGGUGAGUAAUACAUCGGAACGUGCCCAGUAAUGGGGGAUAGCUCGGCGAAAGCCGGAUUAAUACCGCAUACGCCCUGAGGGGGAAAGUGGGGGACCGCAAGGCCUCACGUUAUUGGAGCGGCCGAUGGCUGAUUAGCUAGUUGGUAGGGUAAAGGCCUACCAAGGCGACGAUCAGUAGCUGGUCUGAGAGGACGAUCAGCCACACUGGGACUGAGACACGGCCCAGACUCCUACGGGAGGCAGCAGUGGGGAAUUUUGGACAAUGGGGGAAACCCUGAUCCAGCAAUGCCGCGUGUGCGAAGAAGGCCUUCGGGUUGUAAAGCACUUUUGUCAGGGAAGAAAUCCUUUGGGCUAAUACCCUAGGGGGAUGACGGUACCUGAAGAAUAAGCACCGGCUAACUACGUGCCAGCAGCCGCGGUAAUACGUAGGGUGCAAGCGUUAAUCGGAAUUACUGGGCGUAAAGCGUGCGCAGGCGGUUGUGUAAGACAGGUGUGAAAUCCCCGGGCUUAACCUGGGAAUUGCAUUUGUGACUGCACGACUA
rnacentral:rRNA from 1 species